UGUCCGUGCAGCGUGGCAGCGCGCGCAGU
rnacentral:sRNA from 1 species